rfam:Hordeum vulgare subsp. vulgare, WGS project CAJW01000000 data, contig: morex_contig_44526
UUAAUGCUCCCUCCGUCCGAAAUUACUUGUCACAAAAAUGAAUAGAUGUAUCUAGAACUAAAAUACAUCUUAAUAUAUCCGUUCCUACGACAAGUAUUUUUGGACGGAUGGAGUAAUUG